GAUGAACGCUGGCGGCGUGCUUAACACAUGCAAGUCGAACGGUGAAGCCAAGCUUGCUUGGUGGAUCAGUGGCGAACGGGUGAGUAACACGUGAGCAACCUGCCCUGGACUCUGGGAUAAGCGCUGGAAACGGCGUCUAAUACUGGAUAUGAGCUCUCAUCGCAUGGUGGGGGUUGGAAAGAUUUUUCGGUCUGGGAUGGGCUCGCGGCCUAUCAGCUUGUUGGUGAGGUAAUGGCUCACCAAGGCGUCGACGGGUAGCCGGCCUGAGAGGGUGACCGGCCACACUGGGACUGAGACACGGCCCAGACUCCUACGGGAGGCAGCAGUGGGGAAUAUUGCACAAUGGGCGGAAGCCUGAUGCAGCAACGCCGCGUGAGGGAUGACGGCCUUCGGGUUGUAAACCUCUUUUAGCAGGGAAGAAGCGAGAGUGACGGUACCUGCAGAAAAAGCGCCGGCUAACUACGUGCCAGCAGCCGCGGUAAUACGUAGGGCGCAAGCGUUAUCCGGAAUUAUUGGGCGUAAAGAGCUCGUAGGCGGUUUGUCGCGUCUGCUGUGAAAUCCCGAGGCUCAACCUCGGGCCUGCAGUGGGUACGGGCAGACUAGAGUGCGGUAGGGGAGAUUGGAAUUCCUGGUGUAGCGGUGGAAUGCGCAGAUAUCAGGAGGAACACCGAUGGCGAAGGCAGAUCUCUGGGCCGUAACUGACGCUGAGGAGCGAAAGGGUGGGGAGCAAACAGGCUUAGAUACCCUGGUAGUCCACCCCGUAAACGUUGGGAACUAGUUGUGGGGACCAUUCCACGGUUUCCGUGACGCAGCUAACGCAUUAAGUUCCCCGCCUGGGGAGUACGGCCGCAAGGCUAAAACUCAAAGGAAUUGACGGGGACCCGCACAAGCGGCGGAGCAUGCGGAUUAAUUCGAUGCAACGCGAAGAACCUUACCAAGGCUUGACAUACACCAGAACACCGUAGAAAUACGGGACUCUUUGGACACUGGUGAACAGGUGGUGCAUGGUUGUCGUCAGCUCGUGUCGUGAGAUGUUGGGUUAAGUCCCGCAACGAGCGCAACCCUCGUUCUAUGUUGCCAGCACGUAAUGGUGGGAACUCAUGGGAUACUGCCGGGGUCAACUCGGAGGAAGGUGGGGAUGACGUCAAAUCAUCAUGCCCCUUAUGUCUUGGGCUUCACGCAUGCUACAAUGGCCGGUACAAAGGGCUGCAAUACCGUGAGGUGGAGCGAAUCCCAAAAAGCCGGUCCCAGUUCGGAUUGAGGUCUGCAACUCGACCUCAUGAGGUCGGAGUCGCUAGUAAUCGCAGAUCAGCAACGCUGCGGUGAAUACGUUCCCGGGUC
rnacentral:rRNA from 1 species